UUUUGGACAAUGGGCGCAAGCCUGAUCCAGCCAUUCCGCGUGAGUGAAGAAGGCCUUCGGGUUGUAAAGCUCUUUCGCAAGCGAAGAAAACUUACUUUCUAAUAAAGAGUGAGGUUGACGGUACCUUGAUAAGAAGCACCGGCUAACUACGUGCCAGCAGCCGCGGUAAUACGUAGGGUGCGAGCGUUAAUCGGAAUUACUGGGCGUAAAGCGUGCGCAGGCGGCUUUGUAAGUCAGAUGUGAAAUCCCCGAGCUCAACUUGGGAACUGCGUUUGAAACUACAAGGCUAGAAUAUGUCAGAGGGGGGUAGAAUUCCACGUGUAGCAGUGAAAUGCGUAGAGAUGUGGAGGAAUACCAAUGGCGAAGGCAGCCCCCUGGGAUAAUAUUGACGCUCAUGCACGAA
rnacentral:rRNA from 1 species